GACUCGAUGGCGCAAUGGUAGCGCGUUCGACUCCAGAACCGAGGUGAACAUCGAAAGGCUGCGUGUUCAAGUCACGUUCGGGUCA
rnacentral:tRNA from 1 species